UCAUGUCACAGAGCACUGUUGGGCAGAAUUUGGAGCCUCAGAUCACUUCAAAAAUCUCAUAGCAGAAAAAGACGAGAGAGAGGAUCUGCCAUCUUUGGUCCAAGCAAGGGGAAGAUUGUGGAAAAAAUUGCCUUGGUCCGGGCUCAUCUCUGACCCAGCAUGACAAAGCCUACAGACCUCCUAAGGUCUCCACGGCGAUGAGGAUGGUGCAGCAACUGGAUCGUAGUUAAGUGUUUGGGUUUGUGGAAAACUUGUGUGUGUGCGUGUGUG